rnacentral:rRNA from 1 species
CCCGGUGCGUCAACGUACGUAAACGGCGGCAGUUGGGAGCUGUCCUAAGGUAGCGUAAUGAGUCGUCCUUUAAUUGGGGAAUUGAAUCAACGGGUUGACGUAGGGAGCGCUGUGUCUGGGGUAGUUGGCUGAACUUUAUUUUUUUAGUGAGGAAGCUAAAAUGGUUUUAAAAGACGAGAAGACCCUGUCGAGUUUGAUGAGCUGAAAUAUUUAUAAGAGUCUAUAUUAGGUAAAGUUUAGCUGGGAAAGCUGCAGGCGAAUAGAGCGUCUGAAAUUGUUUGUAUGAAGGUCGACUAGGAGUUAUAAAAAGGAAAAACUACCGCAGGGAUAACAGCGCUGCCCCCCCGGAGAGGUCCUAUCGAUCGGGAG